GUCAGGGAGGUAAAUAGUCCCUUUCUCCCUCUCCCCGCAGACCUCAGAGAAGCUGUGUCCAUUUCUCCGGUGACCCAGCCCUGGAGCAGGCCUCUGAGCUGCCACUCAUUCGGGGGACUCAGGGAGUGUUUAAGCACCCUGGGUGAAGUCGACACAGGUGGUGGAGAUCCAGGCUCUGCCCUGGGACCCGAGUUUGUCAUGGGCUUGCACAAGCCUGGAACAGGUGUGGAUUGUAUUAACCAGCCCCUUAUAAAUACUGCAGGCCCACGCCCAGCCGUUUCUCGCUGGAUUCUCCACGGCUUCGGUAGUACGUUCCUGUAAGUCAGAGUGGUAACGAUUUAACUAGAAGGCAGCUCCAGAGACCGCUGUAUUAGGGGAGUGCCCACUGCUUCCCGGGUCAUGAUUCAUCCCGAAGGACCCCAGAGUCUAAGUCUGAGUUCUGUCAGCCUCUGUACUUCUGCUAGCUACCCUUGAGCAGGCUUCCCAAAGUGCUGAGAUUCCAGAUGGAGUCUCGUUGUGUCUCCCAGGCUGGAGUGCAUUGGUGUGAUCUUGGCUCACUGCAACCUCUGGCUCCCAGGUUAAAGCAAUUCUUCUACCUCAGCCUCCCGAAGAGCUGGGAUUAGAGGCUCAGGCCCAGCUGUUCCUCCUUGGAUUUGCCACAGUCCCAGGAGGUCGUUCCUAGAAGUCAGAGGUAAGUGGUCCCUUUUUCCCUGUUCCCACAGACCUCAGACAAACUGUCCAUUUCACUGGUGACCCAGUCCCUGGAGCAGGACCCUGAGCUGCCACUCAUUCGGGGGACUCACUUGGCCACUGAAGUUCAGGAGGAGUGAGGGGGCUGCUUGAGAAAAGCUCGGUGUGGCAGGAUGAGGCGGAGGCAGAGUGUCUAAGGGGAUGAGGGCCACAGGGAGGCUGGAUGGUCCUGGUCACAGUGCAGCAGGGACGAACAGAAGCCAGUGGCAAGGGCAGGAAGAAGCCCCCUUUUUGGGGGGGAGGUGGGGACAGUCAUGCUGUGUCACCCAGGCUGGA